rnacentral:rRNA from 1 species
CGGGUGAGUAACACGUGGAUCAUCUACCUUCUAGUGGGGCAUACCUCUGGGAAACCGGAGAUAAUUCCGCAUAAGCUCGUAAGAGGAAAGCGACGUCUUAACAACGACGCGCUGGAAGAGGAGUCCGCGGCUGAUUAGCUAGAUGGCGGGGUAACGGCCCACCAUGGCGAAGAUCGGUAGCCGGCCUGAGAGGGCACACGGCCACACUGGCACUGAAACACGGGCCAG